UCGUGGACGCCGGCUGAGCGAGAGCAUUGGUGGGUGUUGGGCCGGAGGAAAGCAGGAAGACCCAUCAGAGCGUGUGGAUUUGAGCCGCCGCAUUUCUUAACCCUAGAUCUCGAAAUGCAUCGUGAUUUCUGUCCAUUGGACUGUAAGGUUUAUGCAGGCAAUCUUGGAAACAAUGGCAACAAGACCGAAUUGGAACGGGCUUUUGGCUACUAUGGACCACUCCGAAGUGUGUGGGUUGCUAGAAACCCACCCGGCUUUGCUUUUGUUGAAUUUGAAGAUCCCCGAGAUGCAGCUGAUGCGGUCCGAGAGCUAGAUGGAAGAACACUAUGUGCCUGCCCUGUAAGAGUGGAACUGUCGAAUGGUGAAAAAAGAAGUAGAAAUCGUGGCCCACCUCCCUCUUGGGGUCGUCGCCCUCGAGAUGAUUAUCGUAGGAGGAGUCCUCCAUCUCGUCGCAGAUCUCCAAGAAGGAGAAGCUUCUCUCGCAGCUGAAGCAGGUCCCUUUCUAGAGAUAGGAGAAGAGAGAGAUCGCUGUCUCGGGAGAGAAAUCACAAGCCGUCCCGAUCCUUCUCUAGGUCUCAUAGCCGAUCUAGGUCAAAUGAAAGGAAAUAG